UGGGGAAGGCAAGAUGGCGGCGCCCAUGGAGGUGGCCGUGUGUACGGACUCGGCGGCCCCGAUGUGGAGCUGCAUCGUGUGGGAACUUCACUCGGGCGCCAACCUGCUCACCUACCGCGGCGGCCAGGCGGGACCCCGCGGCCUGGCGCUGCUCAAUGGCGAGUAUCUGCUGGCGGCGCAGCUGGGCAAGAACUACAUCAGCGCCUGGGAGCUGCAGCGGAAGGACCAGCUCCAGCAGAAGAUCAUGUGCCCCGGGCCUGUCACCUGUCUGACUGCGUCACCCAACGGUCUCUACGUCCUGGCAGGAGUUGCAGAAAGCAUCCACCUGUGGGAGGUCUCUACCGGGAACCUUCUGGUCAUCCUGAGUCGACACUACCAGGACGUCUCCUGCCUUCAGUUCACAGGGGACAGCAGCCACUUCAUCUCGGGGGGCAAGGACUGCCUGGUGCUGGUUUGGAGCCUCUGCAGGUAGCACCUUGUGCAGCCAGGCCUGCACCUGGAACUGUACCCAGGCUCAGGCGAGGAGAGAGGAGGCACCAAGGCCCCUGGCAGGAAGGAGGCCUCUUGGGGUCUGGAGUGCAGAGGACGGAGUGAUCAUCCCAGGGGUCCUGGCUGCCCACACUGGGGUCUGGUUUGUUCUGGGGGCUGUGGGGGCCCAGCCUUGAGUUUACUCAGGUGAGGCAGUCCAGGCUGCUGAGUGGAGGCAGGUGUGUGCGUGAGGUGGGUGCUGGAGGCGUGGACUGCCCUGUUCCCUCCCCUCCCCGCCUGCUGAGCACCUGCCCCACCCCGCUCAGCGUGCUGCAGGCCGACCCCUCCAGGAUUCCGGCGCC
rnacentral:sRNA from 1 species